rnacentral:rRNA from 1 species
AACGAACGCUGGCGGCAGGCCUAACACAUGCAAGUCGAGCGCCCCAGCGAUGGGGAGCGGCGGACGGGUGAGUAACGCGUGGGAACGUGCCUCUUGCUACGGAAUAGCCUCGGGAAACUGGGAGUAAUACCGUAUGUGCCCUACGGGGGAAAGAUUUAUCGGCAAGAGAUCGGCCCGCGUUGGAUUAGGUAGUUGGUGGGGUAAUGGCCUACCAAGCCGACGAUCUAUAGCUGGUUUGAGAGGAUGAUCAGCCACACUGGGACUGAGACACGGCCCAGACUCCUACGGGAGGCAGCAGUGGGGAAUCUUAGACAAUGGGCGCAAGCCUGAUCUAGCCAUGCCGCGUGAGCGAUGAAGGCCUUAGGGUUGUAAAGCUCUUUCAGUGGGGAAGAUAAUGACUGUACCCACAGAAGAAGCCCCGGCUAACUCCGUGCCAGCAGCCGCGGUAAAGUCUGUACU